AGAUGGGACCGUCUAGUUGCAGGAAAACAAUCUUAGAGCCCCCAAGGAUUCUACAUUAUGGACAGAAUAAUAAGCUGAAUAGAUCUGACCAUUGGCUUUCAGCUGGCCAGGACCUUCUAUGUAGCUCUCCUUUUGUGGCCCAUGUGCUGCAUCCUCUGCCCUCAGUGUGCAACUGGCCCCCAACGCAAUGUGUGUUUGUCAAACCAUGGAAGUGGGGCAGUAUGGCAAGAAUGCAAGUCGGGCUGGAGACCGAGGAGUCCUCCUGGAGCCCUUCAUCCACCAAGUAGGCGGACACAGCAGCAUGAUGCGUUACGACGAUCACACUGUGUGCAAGCCCCUCAUCUCCCGGGAACAGCGCUUCUACGAGUCCCUCCCUCCCGAAAUGAAGGAGUUCACCCCUGAAUACAAAGGCGUGGUAUCUGUCUGUUUUGAGGGGGACAGUGAUGGUUACAUCAACUUAGUGGCCUAUCCUUAUGUGGAAAGUGAGACUGUGGAACAGGAUGACACACCAGAACGGGAGCAACCUCGGCGCAAACACUCCCGCCGGAGUCUGCACCGGUC
rnacentral:sRNA from 1 species